GACGAACGCUGGCGGCGUGCUUAACACAUGCAAGUCGAGCGGUAAGGCCCUUUCGGGGGUACACGAGCGGCGAACGGGUGAGUAACACGUGGGUGACCUGCCCUCAGCUCUGGGAUAAGCCUGGGAAACCGGGUCUAAUACUGGAUAUGACUCCAUGACGCAUGUUGUGGGGUGGAAAGCCUUGUGCGGCUGAGGAUGGGCCCCGCGGCCUAUCAGCUUGUUGGUGGGGUGANGGCCUACCAAGGCGACGACGGGUAGCCGGCCUGAGAGGGCGACCGGCCACACUGGGACUGAGACACGGCCCAGACUCCUACGGGAGGCAGCAGUGGGGAAUCUUGCGCAAUGGGCGAAAGCCUGACGCAGCGACGCCGCGUGAGGGAUGACGGCCU
rnacentral:rRNA from 1 species